ensembl:ncRNA K10C3.11 ncRNA
UGAGAGUAGCAGAUACAAGAGCAAGCGUGAUGUGCCAGUGAAGUUGAACAAAGCGUGGUGGUGACCUCCCUUGAAGCCAUGCAAAAAGAGCAACAAUCACGCACAAUCAGCGAAUGGGCUCCACUAUGUUCAUCUCAUCCCUCGCUUGG